UCCAUUGGGGAGUCACUGAUUCAUAACCUGAAGAACUUCUUCUCUGUGAACAAUUAACUUCAUUGUCUAUUGGAUUUAAUCCAUUUCACUGAAUUUUAAGCUAAAAAAUAAAGAUUCUACAUGUGGCUGAAGAUGAUGGAUAAGAAAGAAGAAGAAAACAAGACCCAGGACAGUGGUAACAGAUUUUCCAACUUUCUGGAGACAGAACCACAGCCAGAUCCUGGAUUUUCUGCCUCUUAGUUCAGGGCAAAGUCUACAACCCCAGAAGAAAGUAAACUUAUAUAACUGGAUAUUAUAAAGAACCCAGGUAGGGAUUUCUACCACUGGAUUUGAAAAAAAUGAAGAACAAUAAAAUUAGAUCAUCACCCCUCCUUUUUUUUUUUUUUUCCUUCAUUCUCUUCAGAUCUCCACCAAAGGCUCAAAAAACAGCAUGGAUGUUAAUUUAUGACAAAACAGCCAUUG